GGGCCCGCACAAGCAGCGGAGCAUGUGGUUUAAUUCGAAGCAACGCGAAGAACCUUACCAGGUCUUGACAUCGAGGCAAAGCCGUAGAGAUACGGUGUUCAGCAAUGAGGCCGAAGACAGGUGGUGCAUGGUUGUCGUCAGCUCGUGUCGUGAGAUGUUGGGUUAAGUCCCGCAACGAGCGCAACCCUUAUUGUCAGUUACUAACGGGUAAAGCCGAGGACUCUGACGAGACUGCCGGGGACAACUCGGAGGAAGGUGGGGACGACGUCAAAUCAUCAUGCCCCUUAUGACCUGGGCUACACACGUGCUACAAUGGUGGUAACAGAGAGGCGCGAGCUCGCAAGGGGGAGCGGAUCUCAAAAAAGCCAUCUCAGUUCGGAUUGUGGGCUGCAACCCGCCCACAUGAAGUUGGAGUUGCUAGUAAUCGCGGAUCAGCAUGCCGCGGUGAAUACGUUCCCGGGCCUU
rnacentral:rRNA from 1 species